rnacentral:rRNA from 1 species
UAAUUAAGCGGAGGAAAAGAAACUAACCAGGAUUGACGGUAGUAAGGGCGACUGAACUGUCAAAAGCUCACCGUGUGAAUCUGCGUGUUUUUGCGCGCCGAAUUGUGGUCUGGAGGUUCUUGCACUAUUGCACUGGGCAAAGUCCCUUGGAACAGGGCAGCACAGAGGGUGAGACUCCCGUUUGCCUGGUGCUCAGAGCGAGUGCCAACGAGUCGAGUUGUUUGGGAUUGCAGCUCAAAGUGGGUGGUAAAUUCCAUCUCAAGCUAAAUACUGGUGGGAAACCGAUAGCGCACAAGUACCGUGAGGGAAAGAUGCAAAGAACUUUGAAAAGAGAGUUAAAGAGUACCUGAAAUUGCUGAAAAGGAAGCGAAGGAAACAAGUGCCAAGGUGCACCAUACUUCCCUUCUCGCUUGCGGGUAGGGCGCUGUGGUCAUCGCAGUUCCUCUUGGUUCGGUCGGGCGGAAGCACAGCAGCGACUGCGGGUCGCAGCCUGGUCGCGCUCGAUUGGACCGAAAGGAACGAAAUGGUUUUCUUUGCCCCG